GAGCUUAACACAUGCAAGUCGAGCGAUGAAACUACUUCGGUAGUGAAUUAGCGGCGAACGGGUGAGGAACACGUGAGGAAUCUGCCUUCUACACUGGGAUAACUCCGGGAAACCGGGGCUAAUACCGGAUAUGAAACUUGGUGGCAUCACCGAGUUUGGAAAGUUUUUCGGUAGAAGAUGACCUCGCGGCCUAUCAGCUUGUUGGUGAGGUAAUGGCUCACCAAGGCGACGACGGGUAGCCGGCCUGAGAGGGCGACCGGCCACACUGGGACUGAGACACGGCCCAGACUCCUACGGGAGGCAGCAGUGGGGAAUAUUGGGCAAUGGAGGAAACUCUGACCCAGCGACGCCGCGUGCGGGAUGAAGGCCUUCGGGUUGUAAACCGCUUUCAGUAGGGAAGAAGCGAAAGUGACGGUACCUACAGAAGAAGCACCGGCUAACUAUGUGCCAGCAGCCGCGGUAAUACAUAGGGUGCAAGCGUUGUCCGGAAUUAUUGGGCGUAAAGAGCUCGUAGGUGGUUCGUUACGUCGGAUGUGAAAAUCUGGGGCUCAACCCCAGACCUGCAUCCGAUACGGGCGAGCUAGAGUUUGGUAGGGGAGACUGGAAUUCCUGGUGUAGCGGUGGAAUGCGCAGAUAUCAGGAGGAACACCAAUGGCGAAGGCAGGUCUCUGGGCCAAUACUGACACUGAGGAGCGAAAGCGUGGGGAGCGAACAGGGUUAGAUACCCUGGUAGUCCACGCCG
rnacentral:rRNA from 1 species